rnacentral:rRNA from 1 species
CCUACGGGUGGCAGCAGUGGGGAAUAUUGGACAAUGGGCGAAAGCCUGAUCCAGCCAUGCCGCGUGUGUGAAGAAGGCCUUCGGGUUGUAAAGCACUUUUAGUGGGGAAGAAAGCCUUGGGGCUAAUACCCUCGAGGAAGGACAUCACCCACAGAAGAAGCACCGGCUAACUCCGUGCCAGCAGCCGCGGUAAUACGGAGGGUGCGAGCGUUAAUCGGAAUUACUGGGCGUAAAGCGCGCGUAGGCGGUCUGAUAAGCCGGUUGUGAAAGCCCCGGGCUCAACCUGGGAACGGCAUCCGGAACUGUCAGGCUAGAGUGCAGGAGAGGAAGGUAGAAUUCCCGGUGUAGCGGUGAAAUGCGUAGAGAUCGGGAGGAAUACCAGUGGCGAAGGCGGCCUUCUGGACUGACACUGACGCUGAGGUGCGAAAGCGUGGGUAGCAAACAGGAUUAGAUACCCCAGUAGUC